rnacentral:rRNA from 1 species
UACGGAGGGUGCAAGCGUUAUCCGGAAUCAUUGGGUUUAAAGGGUCCGCAGGCGGUUUAAUAAGUCAGUGGUGAAAGCCUACAGCUCAACUGUAGAACUGCCAUUGAUACUGUUAGACUUGAAUUCGGUCGAAGUGGGCGGAAUGUGACAUGUAGCGGUGAAAUGCUUAGAUAUGUCACAGAACACCGAUAGCGAAGGCAGCUCACUAGGCCUGGAUUGACGCUCAGGGACGAAAGCGUGGGGAGCAAACCGG